rfam:Alkalitalea saponilacus strain DSM 24412 genome assembly, contig: LV88DRAFT_scaffold00018.18
GGGGCUGACAUGGAUUUGACAGCAUGACUAAGUGGUAUGUAAGCAUGUCGAGCAAUGGGAUACCGGCUCGUAAAUCCAGGAUCUCAACUUUUUUAACUGGCGAAACUAAUUACGCUCUCGCAGCCUAAUCGAAGCAUAGUAGAUUGGCAUUAUCCCAGGCUCUAGGAGCCGGGACGAGACAUCUCCCGGGUGCCAAUUCCUGAGGCGGCUCGAUUCGGAGGUGUGGGAAUUUCGGGAAUAGCUGAAACAUUGCCUUGGUGUCUCGGUGAAAAUUAAAAGGCUAAGGAGUCGUCCGGGUGUCUGUUCCCAAACGGCUCACGAAAAUCAAUAACCGACUAAACAUGUAGAAAGCAUAUGGCUUGCUUGUUUGGACCGGGGUUCGAUUCCCCGCAGCUCCACCU